GACAUGCAGAGAACUUUCCAGAGAUGGAUUGGUGCCUUCGGGAACUCUGACACAGGUGCUGCAUGGCUGUCGUCAGCUCGUGUCGUGAGAUGUUGGGUUAAGUCCGUAACGAGCGCAACCCUUGUCCUUAGUUACCAGCACGUUAUGGUGGGCACUCUAAGGAGAACUGCCGGUGCAAACCGGAGGAAGGUGGGGGAUGACGUCAAGUCAUCAUGGCCCUUACGGCCUGGGCUACACACGUGCUACAAUGGUCGGUACAAAGGGUUGCCAAGCCGCGAGGUGGAGCUAAUCCCAUAAAACCGAUCGUAGUCCGGAUCGCAGUCUGCAACUCGACUGCGUGAAGUCGGAAUCGCUAGUAAUCGUGAAUCAGAAUGUCACGGUGAAUACGUUCCCGGGCCUU
rnacentral:rRNA from 1 species